UUAGCUGCUUCUCCUUGGUGUGUUUCCUUAAAUUUCAAAGAACUUUCUUUUACUGCUACUAAUCCUCUUGGAGAUAUAUCUGUCCAUGAUUUCCAUCUUUCUGAAAUAAUUUCAUGAUGUUAGGAGAGAGGGCACAUGACAAACUUUGUUCGUACUAGUCUUGAUUUUAUAUACCUUUUAUGUUCUUCCAAAUUUCACUUGUGUUAAUUUAACUAUUUUUAUGAGGAGGAUUCAUAUUUGAUUAAAUGACCUGAUUGUGAUUGUCAUCAUCACCUUAUAAUACACCAAAACUUUGAUAAGUUUAUAUAGGCUCUACUAUCCAAGUAAAAGAAGUAGAUAUUAAAAGAAGAUGAAGGGAAAAAAACUACAUAUAAUUUGAAGUUUAAAGGGUACCCAUAGGAUAAAGAAUUACCAAAAAUUGUUAGUUAGAUAAGGGUAAAUUUUAAAAUCCACAAUUGGUUAAUAGUAGCAGUGCAGGAGCCGUAAUAUGUAAUAUGUAAUUUGAUGAGUUCCUGAAACAAGAUGUUAGCAAUCCCUUGCAGAUUCUGAUUUGUGGCCUAUCUUACCCUUAUUGUUAGUUGUAGCAUGACUUUUAUUCUUAAUAAAGAAACGGUCAAAACUAUGAGUGGGAGUUCUCCCAUGUAAUUAUAUGUAUGAAAUUCUUGGUUUUGUCAGAAAAUUGAGAAAGCCUUGCACGAUCCCUUCAAAGAAAAAAGGAAGGAAAGAGGAAAUCUCACUCUUAUUGUGUGUUUAGUUAAAGUCUUGUGAGUUCUCCUGUGGUUUGUUGUACCUUUUCAUUUGGUUCUUUUCUUCCUGCAAGUGGAAAAGCUGCACUGUUUUUUGAGCAUUCUGCUACAACUUGAGGUGCUCUGAGGCUAUCUCGAAGUUCGUUCAUUCUUGCACUUCUAUACAGUCUCUCUGGGUGGUUCUGUGCUUUUGUUGAGCAGUUUUUGUUCCCCUUAACAUUUCUAAUAGCCUUGCUGCACUUGGUAUCCAGUUUGGUAGCAUUCCAUAGUUUCUAAAAAAUGUGUAAUUCUCGAUGGAUUAUUUGUGUAGGUUGCUGUAAGCAAUGUGAUUUAUUCAAUGCUUUCAAGUUGUAUGGACGAUAGGAAACAUUUCUAAUAGCCUUGCUGCACUUGGUAUCCAGUUUGGUAGCAUUCCAUAGUUUCUAAAAAAUGUGUAAUUCUCGAUGGAUUAUUUGUGUAGGUUGCUGUAAGCAAUGUGAUUUAUUCAAUGCUUUCAAGUUGUAUGGACGAUAGGAAACAUUUCUAAUAGCCUUGCUGCACUUGGUAUCCAGUUUGGUAGCAUUCCAUAGUUUCUAAAAAAUGUGUAAUUCUCGAUGGAUUAUUUGUGUAGGUUGCUGUAAGCAAUGUGAUUUAUUCAAUGCUUUCAAGUUGUAUGGACGAUAGGAAACAUUUCUAAUAGCCUUGCUGCACUUGGUAUCCAGUUUGGUAGCAUUCCAUAGUUUCUAAAAAAUGUGUAAUUCUCGAUGGAUUAUUUGUGUAGGUUGCUGUAAGCAAUGUGAUUUAUUCAAUGCUUUCAAGUUGUAUGGACGAUAGGAAACAUUUCUAAUAGCCUUGCUGCACUUGGUAUCCAGUUUGGUAGCAUUCCAUAGUUUCUAAAAAAUGUGUAAUUCUCGAUGGAUUAUUUGUGUAGGUUGCUGUAAGCAAUGUGAUUUAUUCAAUGCUUUCAAGUUGUAUGGACGAUAGGAAACAUUUCUAAUAGCCUUGCUGCACUUGGUAUCCAGUUUGGUAGCAUUCCAUAGUUUCUAAAAAAUGUGUAAUUCUCGAUGGAUUAUUUGUGUAGUGGGAUGACAUUGAAACUUUUGAGAAGGUGACCGUGGAAGUGGGAUAACUUGAAGCUGCAUCCGCGAAACAAGCAAGCUCUUUGUAAAAGUCUUGCAUUCAUGCUUUAUAUGAUAUGCAUGUGCUUAAUUAUUCUGAAAAAUACUUCUUGACAUGAAUGUGCAUGCGCGCUAUUUUGAUGAAGGUAAUAGAAAUUGCUAAAUAGACUGCUUAUUAUCACAAAUUAUAUGCUAAUGCAACUCUUUUCCUUCCUUUAUUUACCUCUCUCCUGAUACAACUUGCUCAUAAUAGAUUAAAAAUGAUAUAAACUUUAAUAUUUUAAUAAUGAUCUUUCCUAAUGUCUGUUAUCCAUUUACUUGAAAUUUAAUAGAUGCAUAAUAUUGCAUCCAUUUACAUAUUUUUUGAAGUUAAAGUUAAGGGAAAAGGUGUUCUACUAUGGCUGUAAUAGUUAAAAUUGAAUAUCUUUGUACUUUGUUGUUGCAUCUGUGCCUUUCAUCUCAAAGUACUAUAUGACCAUUGCAUGACAAUUUAAAUGUAUUAGUUGUGAGUUGCAUCUGUGGCUUUCAUCUCAAGUACUAUUAUCAUUGCAUGACUCUUUAAAUGUGUUAGUUGUGAGUUGUGAUAUAUACUGUUAUCUAACUUUGCAUGCUCUCUUCUUUUUUCAGUUAUUAUCCAGAUGCAACUUGUGCUGUCCUUUACGGCUGCUUGACUGCACAUUUUUACCCUCUUGUAAAACCACCUCUUGUAUUACAACACACAACAUGAACAAUUUCAUAGCUUUGAUCUUUCCAAUAAAGCUUUACCAAUGUAAUAGCAUAAACUUUUUUUUUUUUUUUUGGUUAAGUAAUAGCAUAAACUUUGUUCCACAUGGUAUGAAGCAUUACAUUGUAUUAUGUUACUAGUUAACUUGGUGCUACUGCUUUUUUUAACAUUGUAAAACUAUCCGUGCUCAUGUACUAAUGUUGCUCCAUGUGGCACUCAAUUUUUCUUUUUUUAAGUUUAUUUCUAUAUGGGUCUUUAUGUGUAUCUUGAGUUUUUGAGAUUUUACAUCUAAGUGUGUUUUAAUUUAUUAAGAAACAAAAAAAAGACUUGAGAGGGAAAAAAAAACACUGAAUAUUGCACAUGCAUUAUCAAAAAGAGUUGCAUUAAUCAAGUUGGGUGUAAGAAAUGACCCAAGUUUAGUUUGUGAUUACUAAGACGAUGCAAUGCGCUAUCCAUUGCAGCAUAUAUGAUCAGAACGUGUACAUGUCUCAUGUAUCAAAUCAGUAUCUCUAAUAUUGUCCUAGUUUAGGUCUGCAUUUUUGCAGGAACAUGUCAACACAAAAUCAAGCUUGCAAAAUUGCUAGCAGGAUGAAAAGUAUUUCUUCUUGGAUUUGCGAUUUUGCAUCUAAUUAGCUGCUUGGGCAACAAUUUACAUGUAGUUCCAACGUCUUCAUCCAUAUAAAGUUGUGUUCCUUCUAAAUUCAAAGUACCAAAAAGAGUAUAUCAUCUUUAUACAUAGAUAGUGUAAACUUUUCUACUUUUAGCUGACGCAUAUUCUACUUCAUGCUUCUAUUUACUCCAAGGAAAAAGAAAAUAUAAAAUUCAAUCUUUUAGAUCCAUAAAAAUUUAUUAAAACACUAUAUGAUUUUUUCCAGUAACAACAUUGAAAAUAUCAUAAAAUAUUUUUCAAUAAAGUGAAGCUUCAAAGAAGGGAAAAGGGUAAAAAAUACUCUCUCCUUUAACUAAGUUUACCCCUUGUUAUGCUUUGUGGCCAUUUAUAUCCUCUCCAUCAUAAAAGUUAACACAUAUGUCCUCCAAACUAAGAUUUACACAAAUUGAACAAAAUUAACUGAUUCAAUUUUAAUCUGACCCGACUCACAAUCCACCGAUCCAACACCAUCCAAUUUAACCCCUCUCCAUCACAGUCCUUUCUGUUUCUCCUCCCGUUCUUCACCUCCUUCACCUUUCCUUUCAAGUUUCAAAUAGACCAGCCAUGGAAGGAAAAUAAAGAGCAAAAUACUAGUAAAAGAAUAAGUUAUAUAGAGCACUAGACCAGAAUAAUUACUUUCAAUCUCAAAUUUUUAGUAAAAGUAAGAAUGGAUAGGAAAUGAUAAUACCGAAACGAUGGACAUGAACGUCGUCGCAUUCCAAUGCAAAACACUGCAUCUUUUGUUGGGUGCCGCGAUGACUUUGAAGUGACGGAGGCGGUGGCUCUCCGGCCUUCUUCACAUACCGGGCGACAGUGGACGAUGGCGAUUGACCUUCACGCUAGCAAUUGAAGAUGUAGACGGUGGAGAAGCGACGGUCUUGCAAAAAUCUCAUCGGAGAGAAUUAAAAAAAGUGAAUAUUGAUACCAUCAUCCAAGAAUUUCGUUGCUUACAUUUUUUUGGGGUUUCUUUUUUAUAAGCAUUUUGCUCUGUGUUUUUCUUGGAAAGGGAAAAAGAAAGGAUUGUGAUCGAAAGGAGAUAAAUUGGAUGGUGUUGGGUUCGUAGAUUGUGAAUCGGGUCGGGUUAACAUUAAGAUCAGUUAGUUUUGAUCAGUUAGUUUGGAGGGUACAUGUAUUAACUUUUGUGACAAGAAGGAUAUAAAUGAUCACUGAGUUUAACAAAAGGAUAAACUUAAUUAAUUAAUUAAAGUAGAAAGGUAUUUUUGAAGCAUUAACAAUUCCUCCUGAAUUUAAAUAAAGAAACUAGAUAGGGUUGCUAUAAAAAGAAAUUAGUAGAAGUUAGUACAAAGGUGUGUGGUCCCGUUUCGGCGCUCUACAUAUCAGUGGACUCGUAGUACACUUGCUCUUCAUCUCUAUGCAAUGAGCUGCUGCUGCAUAGCCGGUUCCUCAUGGCUUACCACGCCCAAAUUCAUCACAAACGCCGCAGCUCGCAGCUUUCGCACCUCUUCGCCGAUGGCUUCCUACAGCCGGCGGUGGUACAACCCAGAACGUCGGGGACGGAUCGAUCCAGCACCAGAAAUCGUCCGCCAUUGGGUGGAAGCGGAUGCUCUUCCCGGUGGCCAACAUCACGGUAAGUUCCUUAAUUUGGUCGGAAAAACACACUUGAAUAUGCCGAUCCUUUGAUUUCAUACUAAAUUAUCAGUUGUGCGAGUUUUCUACCUCAACUAUCGCCAUCUAUUUAUUAAUCACAGCUCAAUUAUUAAUUGUUUGAGUUUCAUACCUGAACUUUCGGUUAGUAAAAGUGAACAAUUAAUAGUUUGUGUGUGUGCGGAUAAAUAGCUGCUGAUAGCUCCACACCUGGUAGUUAAGAUAUGAAAUUCGAAAAUUCGGGAUACUUUAGGUGAGUUUUUGACCAUUAACUGUUUUUUUUUUUUUUGGGUAAUGUUGAAGUUUGAAUUAGUGUAUGGGAUAUUGGUGCAGCGGAAAGGUUUACGGUUGUAUCAUAUAAUAUCUUGGGAGAUAGGAAUAUUUCCAAUCACGGAGAUCUAUAUAGAAAUGUUCCCCCAAAUUACUUAGAUUGGAACCACCGUAGAAGAGUUAUUUGUGAAGAACUCCUCGGAUUGAAUCCUGAUAUAAUUUGCCUACAAGUAAUUAACAGUUACUUACCAGUACAUUUAUAUAUACGACUAUGCUUUGGAGAUGAAGCUAAUUGAAGAAUUUUAUUAAUGUGAUAUAAAUAGGAAGUGGACAAGUACUAUGAUCUACUAAACAUUUUGGAGACAGCUGGAUAUCUCGGUGCCUAUAAGGUCUAUAAUCGCCACAACGGCCUCCCAUGAGUUGAAAUAAAAGGAAAAUUGUAGUAUUAUCAUUCAUUAUACUUCUUGCACUUAGAAAAAUAUUCAAAUGCGUUACUUUUACCAUGUAGAGGCGCACUGGUGGCUCUGUUGAUGGUUGUGCUAUGUUUUGGAAGGCUGAUAAGUAAGAUCAAGAAGUAAAGGUUGUACCUUCUAGUUAGUAGCUUGAUGCUUGUUUGGAUUGAUAUGAGUACUUGCUCAUGCCAGGUUUCAGUUGUUAGAGGGUGAAAGCAUUGAAUUUAGGCAGUAUGGUCUUCGCGAUAAUGUCGCUCAACUCUCAGUUUUUGAGGUAGUAGUUGUGAAUGGCAAACUUCUUUUCUUAUGUUCUGCAAUCUCAUCUAGACUAAUGGGAUCAGUGAGUGAUGAAAGAAUGCUCGAAAUUUGGAUAAUUGGCUGGGUGGGUACAAAUAUGUAAAAUGAGAUAUGGGCUAAAAAAGAAAAUCAAACUGGCCGACAACCUAAAUAUGAGCACUUAACUUGUACAUAGUGAUUUAUCUAAGCUCAUCGAGCUUCAGUUUCUUCAGAAUAAGCGUAUGUGAUGGCUAAUGGCUUAACUGACCUCUUAUCCAAGACUUCCCUCCUGCAUAAAUAUGUAGAUCACUUCUAGUAGGUUAAGCUCUGUACCAAUAAAAACAUCUGCAGGUAGUUGAGAUCUGGAGCAUUUGAUUUAGCUGAUAUCAGGAAGCAUUUCUCUGUUUAUUCUGAACUGGAUGUUUCUCCUGAUUUCCACUUGCUUAGACAAUCACAGUUUUUUCAUAGUUUCAUUCUUAUUUAUUCACAUCUCUUUCAAUUUUGUAUGUCUAAAUUUGUCUGGUACAGACAGAUGCGUGAAGCUCAGUCAAGGAGGCUCGUAGUUGGGAACAUUCACGUGCUAUAUAAUCCAACUCGCGGAGAUGUUAAGCUUGGUCAAGUUAGAUCCCAUAUUCUGAGUUUCUCUCUAUUUUUUGUAUCUUAAAAUUUGAUCGGCAACUGCUUCACAUCUUAAUUUACCUUGACAUGGUUUAAUAGUUAGACAAAGAACAUUAGUACUUCUUAGGGAUGGAAAUCUCCGCUUUUCUCUUUUAAGCCUAAACUGUGUGUUCCCAAUGCAUGGUGUAGUAAUGCAAAUGCAUUUGCCCUUGAUUGUUAUAAUUUAAAGAUUGUUAUGCGAUCAUUAAUAAUUUAAAGAUUGUUAUAAAUGAAUUGCUCUUUAAAUAUUUAAUACCUACAUAGCUAAUUUAGUUAUUGAGGUGACACAAAAUUGGAGUCGGAGCACCCAAGGGUGUGACCUACUAGUUCAAUGAAUUGUGUUGAACACUAUGAGGUCUCAGGUUCAAUUCCCAAUUGUGACAAACAUUAGGGAUUUCUUUCCAUCUGUCCUAGCCUUCGUGGACAGAGUUACUUAGAGGUGGGAAGUCACAGGUAUCUCGUGAAUUUAGUUGAGAUGCGUGCAAGCUGGCCUGAACACCAUAGUUAUAAAAAAAAAAAUUGGAGUUGACAAAGGAAUAAGCCGAAUCUAGAAAACAUUCUCUAAGGCUAAUGUAAUUGAAUUAAAUUUAUUUUGUAUCGUAAAAGAAAUGAACAUCAUUUGUGUAUGUGCUCCCGAUGAAAAGAAAUUAGGUACUCUAUCCCAUUGCGUGCGUGGGUCGGGAUUUUUACGUGGAUCGCGUUGAAAAAUCGGGCUCAAUGUCUCUUGGAAUCCUGAAUAUCACAAUAAAGUCAUUAGAUAUUCGAUAAAGUCAUAUUAUAGAGAUUUCACUAUCUCAUAGAAAGCUAGCCUUGAUGUAAAAUGUAAAUGCACCAACCUCUAUGGAGAUGGAAACAUAAAAGAACACUAAUGAGCGCAUGAGGAUUUUUUUUGAUCCGUCGUUUUCAUAGUGUUCAUUAGUUCAAUAAAAGAUCUCAAUUAAUUCAUCAAUUUAGAGAACAUAAUGCAUCAUUAAAGACUAAAAAUGAAACAAACGAAAAAAUUGACUUAAUAGCACAAGAACUCUAUAACCUUUUAUUUUUAUGGUCUAAAAUCACAGAUAAAUAGAUAGCUGAAGACUAACAACAACCGAAAGACGAUAAUUGACAUAUUAGAAGAUUCAAUAGUUGGUUAAUUCUUCUCCAAACAUAGCUUCAAGUUCAAGAAUUCCAAUUACCACCUCCAUGAUAAUUAUGAGUUCAAGAACUCUCCUUCUAUACUAGCGCAGGGGCGUCAUUUAAAUCAAUCUUGCGGUGCUCGACCUUAAUAGCACUUCUUACUUCUCUUUUAACUUUUUCUGUUCGCAACUUGAUUGUCAACAUCUGCUCAAUCAUGUGUCUAUUUGGCGGUAUGCCGAGCCUUGGUUCUUGAUCUUAUACAUAAGUAUUUGUUGUUUUUUUCUCUCUAUCAAAUCUUGUGUUUUUUUCGGAGAUCUUCUAAUGCCUCAAAGACAUUUGAUUUUCCCUCAACAUGAUUGCAUUGACGAUACUCUAGUUUCAUUUUGAAAAAAUUGUCAAUUAUUUCUUUAAUAUUUGUGGAACCAUAGGAACAUGGUUUCCCACUUAGUGUAAACAUCAUAACUCCAACAUUUGAUUCAGUCCGAGCUGAAAUCUUUUCUGCAUUCUUGACCAGUGUUUUCUUUCUUUUCAAGAAAGUAGCUGCUCGUGCUUUCUCACAUUCAAUUAGCUUCAUCUCAAUCUUCUGCCUAUCUUUUCCGGCCUUCUUUGCCAUUGCAACAAAUAAUUAAAGAAAAAAAUAAGAUGUUUUGGCUGAAUAAACUUGAGCAAUUUUUAGAGGAAAGCUUGUGUAGUUUAUGGUAGGUGCAUGAGUCCAUUUGUCACGUGUAUUGUCACGUUUAAAGUUUCUUGUUAUGAAUCUCUUGUCCUCUAAUGUAUUGUCAUGCUUAUUUAUUGUUUCAUUUGUUAGUGUUUUCAUAUUAUGUGACUCUAUUACGAGAUUGUCAUGAAUCCCAACAAAAAUUGUCUUCUUAUUUAUUCCACAACAAUUGCAAAAUAUCAAUGUUGAAUUUAAUCUAAAGAUUGAUGAAAAAUAAAUUGUUAUAUUUAUUUAUUAUUUUCAUAUUAUGAGUCUAUUAGUCACGUGCAUUGUCAUGUUUGUUUAUAGUUUUCAUAUUAUGAGUCUAUUUAACAUAUGUUUUGUCACGCUUAUUUAGUGUUUUUUAGAUAAUGUUAAUCUAUUGCACGAUUACUUGGAAUCACAUAAUAUGAAAAUACUAAGUACACGUGACAAAAUAUGUGACAAAUACACUCAUAAUAUGAAAACAAUAAAUAAAAAUGAUAAUACACGUGACGAAUAGACUCAUAAUAUGAAAACAUUAAAUAAUUGUAUCAAUUUAUCUUUAGAUUUAAUUCAACAUUAUUACUUUGCAAUUAUAGUGAAAUAAAAGAAGAAUACAGUAGUAAUCUUGUAAUAGAUUCACAUAAUAUGAAAAUAUUUAAAAACUUGCCAAUAAACGUGACAUAUAGACUUAUUAUGAGAAAACAUUAAAAAAACUUGCCAAUAAACAUGACAGAUAGACUCAUUACAUAAAAUAUUAAAUAAACAUGGCAAAUAGACUCGUGCACCUACUAUAAAUUAACAAGUGUUCCUCUUAAAAAAUUGCUCAGGAUUAUUCAGCCAAUAUUAUCUUCUUAUUUAUUUGUUAUUGUAAUGACAAAAAGGGUCGGGAAAGGUAGACAAAAGAUUGAAAUGAAGUUGAUUGAGUCUGAGAAGGCUUGUGCUGUUGUUUUCUCUAAAAGAAAAAAAACUUAUUCAAGGAUGCAGAUAAGCUUUCAACUCGAACCGGAGUAGAUGUUGGAGUGGUGAUGUUUACACCAAGUGGAAUAUCAUGUUCCUAUGGUUCCACAAGUAUAGAAGAAAUAACUGAUAAUUUUUUGAAGUGAAACUAGAGGAUCACCAACGCGAUCAUGUUGAGGGCAAAAAUGUCUUUGAAGCGUUGGGAAAUCUCCAAAAAGAAUCACAAGCAUUGGUGGAAAGAGAUGAACAACGAAUAGUGAUGUAUAAGAUUAUGCACCUAGUCUAAGAAAUACCGUCAGAUAACCACCACCUUGGUUGAGUAGACGCUGACAAUCAAGUUGCAAACAUAAAAAGUUAAAAAAGAAACAAAAAGUUUUAUGCUGGUUGAGCUAUACAAGUUUGAUUUAAAUGUUGCCCGAAAUCAGAAAAGGAUGAGAGUUCUUGGCCUCAUAAUUAUCAUGGAGAUGGUAAUUUGAGUUCUUGAACUUGGAGCUAUGUCUUGAGGAGAGUUAACCAACUAUUGAAUCUUUUAAUAUGGUCAAUUUUGUAUUUAUUAUUUAUUCUAUUGUUGUUAGUCGUCGGUUAUCCUUUAGUCUAUAAAAUAAAAUAUAGUAGAGUUCUUGUGUUAUUUAGUUUUUUCGUUUGUAUUAUUUUUAGUCUUUAUUGAUGCCCUGUGUUGUCUUGAUUGAUAAAUCAUUCGAGAUCUUUUAUUGAACAAUGACAUAAACUCAGUGUAACACCCCGAGUCUACAUCCCGGACGCCACACGGUGCUUAUGACCCCAAAGGACCACAAGCUAAUCCAUGACUGGUAUCUGCUGCGAGCACUGAAUAAUAAUACUGAAAUAAUGCGAAAGUUAGGCUGAAAUGCCAUAAGGUUCAUAAUCUGAAUACUGUUAAAUAUAGCAACUGAUAAUAACAUCUGUCUGAACUAGUCUAGUCUAGAAAGCCUCUACUGAACUGUCUGAAUGUGGAGUUGAUGGGACAAGCCCCCAGCUAACUCCGACUAAUAAAAUACUGAAUCUACUGUAAUACUGAAAUAAAUAAUAUCCUCGAUGGAUGAGGACUCACUACUGAAUUGCUGAUACUAAUUGAAUCUGGCUAAGCAUGGUAAGGAACCUGAGCAUCCAAACCUAUGAUAUGAGACAUCAUAGCACAAAAGAGAGUAUGAAUCAGUAUGUUGAAUGUACUGGUAUGCUAGAUAAGGUAAGGCUAAAAUACAUGGGUUUAUAUGCAUGAACAAUAACUGACUGAGUGAUAUGAAUAUAACUGAAUGAGAGUACAUGUAUAACUGAAGCUACUGUAAACACUGAUUAUGCAAUAUUGUGCAUAUACAUAUAUAUAUUGUGUCUGAGAUUUAUACUGAAACUGAGUACUGAGUUCUGAUAACUGAGUAAAUGAUAUCUGAGGUUACUGAUAACUGGGUGACUGUUACUGACAGUCCUGAUAUUGUAGAACUGAACUGAGUUCUAUACUGAAGACUGAAAUUGAAACUAUGGGAGGUAAUCAUCUAACCGACAUGCCCCUCUCUGAACUGAUUGGGGUCCAACCUGUAACUCCAGUUGGAAGGGUGCUAAUACCGUGCCACGGGUACUAACAAGCUAAAGAGUCACCCUCAUCUGGCAGGUGCCCUAAAUGAGAACGGUGUUACCCUCAUCUGGCAGGUAAAACACCUUAUCAANNNNNNNNNNNNNNNNNNNNNNNNNNNNNNNNNNNNNNNNNNNNNNNNNNNNNNNNNNNNNNNNNNNNNNNNNNNNNNNNNNNNNNNNNNNNNNNNNNNNNNNNNNNNNNNNNNNNNNNNNNNNNNNNNNNNNNNNNNNNNNNNNNNNNNNNNNNNNNNNNNNNNNNNNNNNNNNNNNNNNNNNNNNNNNNNNNNNNNNNNNNNNNNNNNNNNNNNNNNNNNNNNNNNNNNNNNNNNNNNNNNAGCUACUGUAAUUCUAGGUAAACAACUAGAUUUCGGGUAUUAAAUACCCCCAGAACUCGAUAGCAUCAAUAGUAAGACAUGGCACAAGCUUGAAAGCAUACUAGCUAGUCACUUAGUCAUGAUUCAUUCAUUGAGACAUUUUGUCUAACACUUGCAAGACAUGAACUUGUUCAUGAAUGGGAACACAUGCUAACUUGUCAUGAUUGCACUAUUCACUUCAUAUAGGCAUUCUAACAAACACUUGGGGAGCAUGAUUAUUUCACAUAAUAAUAAACAUAUAUAAAUACCAUGUCUACAACAAUCAACUUGUAAAUUCAAGGAUUUAACAUGAGAAUCACAUAAUUCACCACAUAUGCUAUCUUAAUUUCAUGAUACUUGUAAUUAAUCAUGGAUUGAAACCCAAACAACAUCAUAAUCAUAAAUACAAUCUAAUUUAGGCAUGGAAAUCACAAAUCUGAAAACUUGUAUUCUUGAAAAAGGGUUCUUGGACUCCAUGGGUGGUAAGGGCCCAUGGAUGAACACCUAACAUACCUGAGAGGAUGAGUUCUUGAAGUUUCUUGGUGGGAUUCUUGAGGAUUGAUCUUGAUUCUGGAAGACUAGGGCUUUGUUAAUUGAGAGAAUGCUCUUGAUUUUGGGGCAAAUUAAGUGAAUAAUGACUUAACUAGGUUAUUAGGGAUUAAUUAACGUGUUUAGACUAAUUAGGGAUUUUGGGAAUUGACCAAACGGUCCUUGAAAUUAAAUCACGGAAGCUGAAAAUCCUGAAUUUGCAUGCCGGCGCGACGCGGUACAAUUGCGUCGGCCCACUGGAAAAUGGACAACUCCUAUUUUGACUUAUGGCGCGAUGCAGUGAAAUCACGUUGUGCCACUGCAAACGGACAACUGAGAAUUGGACUUUUGGCGCAACGUGGCGCCAUCGUGGUGCCUCACUGAAUGCGAAUUUGGCCCUUGGUGCGACGCGAUGAAAUCGCGUUGGGUUCACAGGAAAAGGACGAAUGCCAAAUAACACAUCUGCGCGACGUGGUGAUAUCGCGAUGGCACACUGGAAAAUGACGAAUGCCAUUUUGACUCUCACCGCGACGCAGUGCUGCUCAUUUUUUCAGACUGUUUCACUAAAAGUGCUAUAACUUCUCAGCCAAAUAUCGGAUAUAGGCGAACUUUAUAUCAUUGAAAAGCUGACUAAAUUUCCUACACUUUGGUAAGUCUUAUACUGGAAAAUUCUAAGUGUAUGGAAAAUUUUAUAUAGAAAUUCUCGUGUACUAAGAGCUAAACUGAGCUAGGAAAAUACGGGGUAUUACACUCAGGAUCCCCCAAUUUCUAUCGGAACAGUUAUUUGACAUAAACUAUUUGAAUUCCCCAACUGUCAGCAGAUUGACUUGUGGUACCAAGGAUUGUUAUUUCCGUCAGUUCUUCACCACACGGUAACUUACUGCUCAUAUUCUUCCUUUCAGAUUCGCUUUCUUUCGUCAAAGGCUCACAUACUUUCAGAAAAGUGGGACCAUGUACCUAUUGUGCUUGCAGGUGAUUAUAAUAGCACUCCCCAGGUGUGAAUAACUGAAACUUAUCCUUAUGAUGUAUGUCAUUGACUUCUAUUUUUAGAAGUAACUUGCUGAAACAAUGCCUAUUUUUUAUCCUUUGUGAUAGAGUCCAAUCUACAAAUUUUUGUCAUCAUCCGAGGUAAUACGCCAGAUCCCAAUUCAGUAUCCUUUAUGCAAUAUUAAGUACUUCUCAAGUCAUAUGAUCUGCAUGCUUUUUCGUAGAGUUGUUUGCUUCUCAAAGGAUUUGUUUUUAUAUAGCAGCUCAAUCUAAUGCUACAUAACCGAAAAGAGUUGUCUGGUCAGAGACGAUGCCACCCCUCUCAAGUUCUUGGUCUUAGAAGAGAAAGGGGGAGUUUGUUUGUUCUAAUGGACAGGUAAAGCAAGGAUCUGCCAGUACUUAUUAUAUCUCUUGAAGGUCUAUGUGUUCCUAUAAAGCAAAUAGCUAGAGUGUUCAGAAAACCUAAGGGAGGUCAUAAGUUGCUUCACUUUUUAUUUUGUGAGAAAACAAUGCGGUACUUUUUACAACGUGAUUUCUUCUGUAUAUCCUCAUUCGCCGUUUUCGACUUCACUAUAACGUGUUGUAUGGUCAAACUCUUGAUACUUAGUAUAUAUCUAACUUUGGAUACCAAAUUUAUUUAUGGGGAUAAGACUUAUAUUGAUAGAGUAGAACAAAAAUGGAGAUAUGAAAGUAUCUCUCCAUUUACAUAAGGCUUAAAAAUAUUUAAUAACACUAAUAAGACAUAUAACUCCUGUAACUGUUUAUGUAGGUUGUUGCUGGAUUUAUUUGGGUUUAGCUAUUAAUGCCCUUCAUAAUUCAUCUAGUGUGUUUGAUUCUUGAUUCAUUGAUGUUUGAGAUUUCUGAUGUCAAUUGGUUUACUUGUGAGAAAACUAAAUUAUUUUCUUUAUCAUAUGAUUCUGAUGAAGAAAUUUGUUGUGUGCAUGCAAUUGACUUCAGAUUUUUUAAUUCUCGAUGGAGCGAAGAGGAGAUGAAUGUUGCGAUUGGCGCCCCUAGAUCCCACAUAGCUAUGCACCCUUUGAAGCUAAAUAGUUCUUAUGCGAUUGUGAAGGUACAGCUUGUCCUUCCGAUCCACAAUUGAUGUUUAUUCCCUGGUAUAUUCCUCUUAGGCAGAUGCUACCUCUUCCUUCUUCUUAGGGAUCUCUAACAACAAGGGAUGACGGUGGUGAACCAUUAGCCACAUCUUACCACUCUAAGUUUCUGGGAACUGUUGAUUAUUUGUGGUACUAAUGCUGUUGAUGACAACUGCUACUUAUAUUUUUCUGCUAACUUGAUUGACGGGAGUAAGCACUAAAGUAAAAUCCACCACUUGCAGGUAUUCUGAUGGUCUUACACCCACAAAAGUUUUAGAUACUUUACCAGUUAAUGUCUUGAAGAAAACAGGUGGUCUUCCCUACAAGGUACUGUUCUCUGACAUAGUAACUUGAUGUUGUUAACAAGGACGUGUUGGAUUAUGCAAAAGAGGCAAAUACAUUAAUAAGGUUGUUGAAACACGAAGUAUUGUGCUAGAAAUGAUUCAUCCAACUAAUAUAUUUUAAAAUGUAUUUAAUUAAUUUAGAUUUCGGUCCUUUACCUAAUAAAAUGACCUGGUGCUUGAUUGAUUGCACAUUUGGGAUAUAUUCAUCCAUUAGGAACCAAAGGCUCCCCAAAUCUUGUCAUAACAUCUAUUCUUUAUGCUGAACCAUUAAACUUUUAUUUGCUAAGCUGGAUAAGAGCACUCCUGGAUCUCACUAUAUUUGAUUUAUUUUACUUCUUCUAUAAGCUAAUUUUUAACUGAAUUUGUGCGCUGCAGAAAUUGGGUAGUGAUCACUUGGCUUUGGUUUCUGAGUUUGAGUUCCUGGAAGUAGUUGGAGACAGGAAAGAAGCAACUGAAGACCAUACUAUCAGUUAAAGGUAACAUUAUUUCUACAAAUUAAUAAGUGAAAGUGAUAGUACGACGUAGGGUACUUCAGGAAUAUUACUUUUCUUAUGGACAUUUAUGGUAUUUCAACUUACGACUUUUUAUUUCAGAAUAUACCUUUUAUGUUCUUCCAAAUUUCACUUGUGUUAAUUUAACCAUUUUUAUAAGGAAAAAUCGUAUUUGAUUAAAUGACCUGAUUGUGAUUGUCAUCAUUACCUUAAAAAUACACCCAAACUUUGAUAAGUUUAUUAGCUCAACUAUCCAAGAAAAAGAAGUAAAUAUUAAAAGAAGAUGAAGGGAAAAAAAACUACGUAAAAUUGUAAGGUUAAAGGGUACCCGUAGUAUAAAGAAUUACCAAAAAUUGUUAGUUGGAUAAGAGUAAAUUUUAAAAUCCACAGUUGGUUCAUAGCAGUAGUGCAGGAGCUGUAAUAUGUAAUUUGAUGAGCUCCUGAAACAAGAUGUUGGCAAUCCCUUGCAGAUUCUGAUUUGUAGCCUAUCUUACCCUUAUUGUUAGUUGUAGCAUGACUUUUAUUCUUAAUAAAGAAACGGUCAAAACUAUGAGUGGGAGUUCUCCCAUGUAAUUAUAUGUAUGAAAUUCUUGGUUUUGUCAGAAAAUUGAGAAAGCCUUGCACGAUCCCUUCAAAGAAAAAAGGAAGGAAAGAAGAAAUCUCACUUUGUCUGUUUAGUUAAAGUCUUGUGAGUCCUCCUGUGGUUUGUUAUACCUUUUCAUUUGGUUCUUUUCUUCCUGCUAGUGGAAAAGGUGCACCGUUUUUUGAGCAUUCUGCUAUAUCUUGAGGUGCUCUGAGGAUAUCUUGAAGUUAGUUCAUUCUUGCGCUUCUAUACAAAGUCUCUCUGGGUGCUUCUGUGCUUUGUUAAACAGUUUUUGUUUCCCUUAUUUCCUUCUUGUGACAAUAUAAAAAUGCCAUUUCCUAUGAUAAUUAAUUUGCUACUAGUAGAGGAUUUCUUCGUGAAAACCUGCAUUCUAUUCAUUCUUGCAUUUUAAUUCGAGACAUAAGUUUUAGCGGUGCAGUCCAAACUCUUAGGACACUGCCUUUUCCUUUCUCCUUUGGUUUUAUUUUAUUAAAGUUUUUGUUCCUGCAUCUCUUAAAAAAGGAAGGAAAGAAAAAAUCUCACUUGGCCUUAAAUGAUCAAGUAUAAAGAGGUUAAGUGAGUAAUAGAAAAAUGAAUUUGAAAGAAUAGGAAAUAUAGUGGCGAAAAAAACUGUGUCGUGAUUAUUUUGUAAUAUUUAAUGACAUAGAAGUGUAUCAUAAUUGAUACACUUUACGGACGAAUGCAAUAAUAUAGACAAAACACUCCAUAAGGUAAUACACUAGCUAGCAG
rnacentral:lncRNA from 1 species